ACGAACGCUGGCGGCGUGCUUAACACAUGCAAGUCGAACGGAAAGGCCCUGCUUUUGUGGGGUGCUCGAGUGGCGAACGGGUGAGUAACACGUGAGUAACCUGCCCUUGACUUUGGGAUAACUUCAGGAAACUGGGGCUAAUACCGGAUAGGAGCUCCUGCUGCAUGGUGGGGGUUGGAAAGUUUCGGCGGUUGGGGAUGGACUCGCGGCUUAUCAGCUUGUUGGUGGGGUAGUGGCUUACCAAGGCUUUGACGGGUAGCCGGCCUGAGAGGGUGACCGGCCACAUUGGGACUGAGAUACGGCCCAGACUCCUACGGGAGGCAGCAGUGGGGAAUAUUGCACAAUGGGCGGAAGCCUGAUGCAGCAACGCCGCGUGGGGGAUGACGGCCUUCGGGUUGUAAACCGCUUUCGCCUGUGACGAAGCGUGAGUGACGGUAAUGGGUAAAGAAGCACCGGCUAACUACGUG
rnacentral:rRNA from 1 species